GUGUUGCCCAGUUGUAGAAUGCCCCAAGUUUUGGAAUUGUAAUGAUGUACUUCUUUGGUUUUAUAUAUGACCUAUGCUCAAUACGUAAAAAGAGUGCUUUUCUGGGACCAAGUUUGCAGAGUCAUGAUUUUAAGUGAGAUCAUUAUGCAAUUUAGCUAUUAGUUUGUAGUGUUUUAGAAUGUUUCUAUAGUACUGGGGAGAUAGAAGUCCAGCAGAGGACUGUAUAUCAGUGUUCAAAGUAAUCUAUAUAAGUGUCUGAAGACCUUAAAAGUUUACUGGAGGUUGCAGUAUAGUAUUGAAUUAUCGAGGUAAGUCCAGUCAUCUCUUGUGGUAGUCUGGUUAAAUAAGUGCUCUCCAUGCUUAAGUAUCUAUGCUAGCUAAGUAGGGAUUUCUCUUUGUAGACAAUGAACUAAUGAAGAAGAAGAAGAAACAGAAAGAGGAUGUGGGAGAAGAAUUGUUUAAUUAUUUCCUCAAGCAUCUAGGGAAUGGGGUAUAUAUACACUUAGAGAUAAACUAAGUAUAGAAGGUUACAAUCAAUUGCAUAAUUACAGCACAUAAUCACUCACAUGGUUAUAGCAUACAACUACUCACAUGAUUACAGUAAUCAUAUAGCUAGCAUUCUAACACUCUUCUUCUGCACUGACAUUGAAUUGUUUGUUUUUAGUUAGUCUGUCUUGUGAAGCUCUGACCUUUUCCUUUUUCUCUUUAUUUCACAAAAGCUAGUGACUUACAAGAUUUUCCACCAGAGUUUUUGACUUGUAAGAAAGUCAAGUCUGCUAGGUGUUAUGUUGGGCCUGGAGUUUACAUGAUGGCUCUCUUUUGUGCCAUAUUGGUAUCAUAUUCAAGUUCUGAACAUCCUUUAUUUGGCAGUGAUCACAGGAUGGAACAGUAGAUGUCUCAACAUACUAGUUUCCAUGAAAUUUUUGUAGAAGUUAUUCAUGUCAUAUAUUCUCUUAUCCCUAUAAGUGGUUUGACUGUAGAUGCUUUUGGUUUUUUAUUUCCUUUUGUAUCUUCUCCCUUUCAAUCUUCUUCAAACUGAAAACCUUCGUAAUUGGAGUUAAAAAUCUAUCAAAACAUAAAAGAAUGCCUUUCAAUCUGGAAUCUUGUCAAACCCUUCUUCUGUUCUUUCUCAGGCGGA
rnacentral:misc_RNA from 1 species